rnacentral:snoRNA from 1 species
UAUUGUGGUGGGUUUCUGUGUUUGGCAGGUCUGCAACUGCGUCAGAGUGGCCUUAAACUACCACAGAGAUCAGACAGGAGAAGGCUGUGCUGAGAAAUUUCUCAAGCUUUUAGUUUUCAACUUCUUGUUCAGCUCCUACAGAA